rnacentral:antisense_RNA from 1 species
AGCGCGAUUCUAAGUCGUACCGUACGUUUUACUUUAUAAUUUGAAGCUCUUUCGGGUAUUUCGUUAAUAUCUCGAUUCCGUUUGAAGUCACUGCAACAUCAUCUUCGAUUCUCACUCCAGCAACUUCUGGAACGUAAAUGCCUGGUUCGACUGUAAAAACCAUUCCCUCUUCAAGAGCAAGAUUGUUUGUUUCAGUUAAAGAAGGAUAUUCAUGAACGCUGAUCCCCAGCCCGUGGCCAAGUCGAUGCGGGAAGAAUUCCCCAUAGCCGGCUUCCGAAAUAGUUCGGCGUGCUGCGAGAUCAACUUCUGAGCAUAAAACCCCUGGUUUGAUUGCUUCCAGCGCAGCUUUUUGUGCUUUAAAAACCGUUUCGUAAAUUGCAGCCUGUUUUUCAUUGAUGUCGCCAUAAGCUACUGUUCGCGUAAUAUCCGAACAAUAUCCGUCAACGAUAACACCAAGGUCAAAGAGGACAAGAUCACCUUUUUGAAUUUUUUUUAGUCCGGGGGUUCCGUGCGGUGAAGCAGCGUUCACCCCUGUUAAUACCAUUGUUGAAAAUGACAUCUCGGUUACGCCUUUUUUCUUUAGCGCAUAUUCGAUGGCAGCAAGUACAUCCAGCUCAGUUUUUCCUUCUUUUAAUUCUGCAACUCCGGUUUCAAUGGCAAAAUCGGCUAAUGCGCAUGCUUCGCGAAUGGCGCUUAAUUCCUUUUCAUCUUUUACCAUUCGGAGUUUGCGCAGCUUUUCUUCUGCUGAAACAAUGCUUGCUCCCGGGAAAAGCGAUGUAACUUGUUCAAACCUCUCAACAUUCAUAUGCUCUUUUUCGAUCGCAAUUGUAUUUGCUUUUGUAAGGCGAUUUUGUAUGGCUUUAUGUACAAGUUCCCAUGGGUUGUCGAUAUCACUGUACCCGAUUAUUUCAUAAUUCCAACCGGAACGUUUUGCGUCAUUUUUCUCCAUUCCCGGACAGAUUAAAAACGGUUCAUCUUCUUGAAAAACAGCCAGGCCAAGAAGCCGUUCGUGCGGUUCGCUUAAAAACCCGCUCAAAUAAAACACAUUCUCCGGCGACGUUAAAAAGCAUACAUCUGUACCGGUU